rnacentral:rRNA from 1 species
ACGGNAGGCAGCAGUGAGGAAAAUAUUGCGCAAGUGGGCGAAAGCCCUGAACUGACGCAGCGACGCGCGUGGAGGAUGAAGGCUUCGGGUUGUAAACUCCUGUCAGUGGGGAAGAGAAUGGACGGUACCCACUGAGGAAGCUUCGGCUAACUACGUGCCAGCAGCCGCGGDAAAAANACACCAAUNU